UACAUACCCUCCGGAAAAAUUUCACUAUAUAACUUAAUGGACGAAGAAUCGUUAAAUAAAAUCGCAUCAAGUACGGCACAACGGCUAUGGGGCGCGUUCAUCACAUUUGGGUCAGCAAGCGUCGGAGUUUUAGCAAUACGAAGCACUAUGGAGCUCGGUGACUCAUCUUCUUCUACACCUAGGAAAACGAGAAAAGUAGGAUGAAACGCCGACAAGUACGGUACCCGAGGCUACAAACAUCGACGAAGAAAAAGGAGAGUACGAUGCUGAUGAAAGAAAUAAAACAUUUUACGAAUUAAAUACUUACCUAAGAGAAAAGGGGACACCUUACGUCGGAGGAAGAGGAGUCGAGGGUAGACUGGG